CUCCUUAUCUCCCUGCUGGCACCGUGCCCCAGAGGCCCGAGCCAGCCCAGCCAGAGCUGGCCUUGAGCGUCCGGGGGCCAAGGUGACGACCUCAGCUGCACAGAGCCCUUUUCCAGAGAAUUCAUCGCAAGUCUACAUCCAAUUAGGGAGAGCAGGCUGGAUGAGACAAUGGUCCAUACCCCUUGUUAAGUAACAUCCCUAAUUGAUGACAGGGAUGGUGUAGCGGCUUGGAAGCCAACUCGGAUUGUGUUUUUAAAAUUCUCCUUUCUCCCAGGCUGCCUGCCAGAACUCCGUGGCAUGGCUCUUCAGGAGAACAAAGGCGGCUUUGAAAAUCUUUCUCCCCCCUCCUUCAAAUGCUUAUCUGAAAGGACAUCUUUUUCCCCUUAGUUGCUGCAAUCAUAAAAGCACAGGGUCCCCCGUCUCAUCUUGCUGGCUGAUCUCUACAUCCUUAUGGAUGAGGCUACAGUGGUCACCAUCAUCGCCACUCAGAUGAUUUGGAGACGCUCUGACUGAGAGAGGGCGGGGUCUCUAGGAGUAGCCACGGUCUGGGUGACCAACAUCCUCAAUUGCUCGAGAAGGCCAGGUUUGCACUUGCUGUCCCAGUGAAUUAUUCCAGAACCGAAGAGAAGCUUGGUGGGUAGGCGCACAUGGAACAUUCCAGAGAUUGUCCCUUUCCUUUUCCCCAAAGCCCCUUCCUUCUCCCUUCAGGCUGGCCAUCCUUGGGGUGAGAUAGUCACCUCCCUCUAGUGGAGGGCAGGUGUCUUGGGAGACCUGGCCGCUGACCAGCUGUGACCUUGUGAUCUGGGGUCCAGGUUCUCUAUCUGAAUCCGAGGACGAGAAGACUGGAGUUUGGUGGUGGGUCACCUAUGUUCUAUGCACCCCUCUCUGUCCCCAGGGGAGUGACUAAAGGAGUUUGUGAAACCUGGGGCUAAAAAUUCAGAUGCCUGGACAAUCGAGAAGGCAGCAUCUGCUGCCGGAGUUCUCAGGGCCUGUCAAGAGGUCAUGAGUGAGGCUCACCAUUUGCCAGGGCCCUGAAGAGUUUGGAAAAUGUGCCCAUCAUCAGAGCCCAUGGG
rnacentral:lncRNA from 1 species